rnacentral:rRNA from 1 species
CCUACGGGAGGCAGCAGUGGGGAAUAUUGCACAAUGGGGGAAACCCUGAUGCAGCGACGCCGCGUGAGCGAUGAAGUAUUUCGGUAUGUAAAGCUCUAUCAGCAGGGAAGAAAAUGACGGUACCUGACUAAGAAGCCCCGGCUAACUACGUGCCAGCAGCCGCGGUAAUACGUAGGGGGCAAGCGUUAUCCGGAUUUACUGGGUGUAAAGGGAGCGUAGACGGCAUGGCAAGCCAGAUGUGAAAGCCCGGGGCUCAACCCCGGGACUGCAUUUGGAACUGUCAGGCUAGAGUGUCGGAGAGGAAAGCGGAAUUCCUAGUGUAGCGGUGAAAUGCGUAGAUAUUAGGAGGAACACCAGUGGCGAAGGCGGCUUUCUGGACGAUGACUGACGUUGAGGCUCGAAAGCGUGGGGAGCAAACAGGAUUAGAUACCCCAGUAGU